ACGCUGGCGGCAUGCCUUACACAUGCAAGUCGAACGGCAGCACGGAGCUUGCUCUGGUGGCGAGUGGCGAACGGGUGAGUAAUAUAUCGGAACGUACCCUGGAGUGGGGGAUAACGUAGCGAAAGUUACGCUAAUACCGCAUACGAUCUAAGGAUGAAAGUGGGGGAUCGCAAGACCUCAUGCUCGUGGAGCGGCCGAUAUCUGAUUAGCUAGUUGGUAGGGUAAAAGCCUACCAAGGCAUCGAUCAGUAGCUGGUCUGAGAGGACGACCAGCCACACUGGAACUGAGACACGGUCCAGACUCCUACGGGAGGCAGCAGUGGGGAAUUUUGGACAAUGGGCGAAAGCCUGAUCCAGCAAUGCCGCGUGAGUGAAGAAGGCCUUCGGGUUGUAAAGCUCUUUUGUCAGGGAAGAAACGGUGAGAGCUAAUAUCUCUUGCUAAUGACGGUACCUGAAGAAUAAGCACCGGCUAACUACGUGCCAGCAGCCGCGGUAAUACGUAGGGUGCAAGCGUUAAUCGGAAUUACUGGGCGUAAAGCGUGCGCAGGCGGUUUUGUAAGUCUGAUGUGAAAUCCCCGGGCUCAACCUGGGAAUUGCAUUGGAGACUGCAAGGCUAGAAUCUGGCAGAGGGGGGUAGAAUUCCACGUGUAGCAGUGAAAUGCGUAGAUAUGUGGAGGAACACCGAUGGCGAAGGCAGCCCCCUGGGUCAAGAUUGACGCUCAUGCACGAAAGCGUGGGGAGCAAAC
rnacentral:rRNA from 1 species